rnacentral:rRNA from 1 species
GAGUUACAUCACUGCCCCGAAUACUUUAACGUGGGAUUGAAGAAUAAGACCCUGUCCUUCGUGUUUCGCGUUGUUUGUGCCACGUGCGUGCUUCUCGCGGUGCGCGCGCGUGGCAUGGUUUCCUCUAAGAGAAGACCGGGGUAAUGAUUAAUAGGGAUAUUUGGGGGCUUUAAUAUUUAUUUGUCAGAUGUGAAUUUCUUGUAUUUAUGAAAUAUUAACUUCUGCAAAAGCCUCUGCCAGAGAUUUUUUCUUUACUCAAAAACAAAUUUUGGGGGAUCAAACAAUAUUAUAUACCGUCAUACUCUUAACCAUAAACCGUGCCCACCAGCGAGUGGGACACUUUUCACACGGGGGUGGUCCCCGUGGGGAGAGUGCGUGGGGGCCGCCGCUUUGUGCGGGGGCCCUCUUGUAUUUCUCUGUGG